UACGGAGGGUGCAAGCGUUAAUCGGAAUUACUGGGCGUAAAGCGCACGCAGGCGGUCAAUUAAGUCAGGUGUGAAAGCCCCGAGCUCAACCUGGGAAUUGCAUCUGAAACUGGUUGGCUAGAGUCUUGUAGAGGGGGGUAGAAUUCCAGGUGUAGCGGUGAAAUGCGUAGAGAUUAGGAGGAAUACCGGUGGCGAAGGCGGCCUUCUGGCCAUAAACUGACGCUGAGGUACGAAAGCGUGGGUAGCAAACAGG
rnacentral:rRNA from 1 species